AUAACUAUGUGCGCAGCCUGAUGCAGCCAUGCCGCGUGUAUGAAGAAGGCCUUCGGGUUGUAAAGUACUUUCAGCGGGGAGGAAGGGAGUAAAGUUAAUACCUUUGCUCAUUGACGUUACCCGCAGAAGAAGCACCGGCUAACUCCGUGCCAGCAGCCGCGGUAAUA
rnacentral:rRNA from 1 species